GUAGGGAAUCUUGCGCAAUGGGCGAAAGCCUGACGCAGCCAUGCCGCGUGAAUGAUGAAGGUCUUAGGAUUGUAAAAUUCUUUCACCGGGGACGAUAAUGACGGUACCCGGAGAAGAAGCUCCGGCUAACUUCGUGCCAGCAGCCGCGGUAAUACGAAGGGGGCUAGCGUUGCUCGGAAUUACUGGGCGUAAAGGGCGCGUAGGCGGAUAUUUAAGUCGGGGGUGAAAGCCCGGGGCUCAACCUCGGAAUAGCCUUCGAUACUGGAUAUCUUGAGUACGGGAAAUUUGUGUGGAACUCCGAGUGUAGAGGUGAAAUUCGUAGAUAUUCAGAAGAACACCAGUGGCGAAAGCGACACACUGGCCCGUUACUUACGCUGAGGCGCAAAAGCGUCAAGAGCAAACAAGAUUAGAAACCCCUGUAGUCC
rnacentral:rRNA from 1 species